ensembl:lncRNA
ACCAUAUCAAGGUGAGUGCUGCGUGAAAAAUAAACCUUUCAAAAGAGUCCCACAGGUUUAAGUCGUGGUCAAAACCCAUUAACAAGGGACGUAUUGAGAGAAGAGAGCCUCAAGUCUCCCUCCUCUGGAUAAAUUAAGCAAUUACACUUUGUGGUCACAUUUUGUGGAUACAAAAUGAGGUUAGCAGGGGAAAAGGGCUAUCGAAAUUUGCUUCACGAGAUCAUUCGUGAAACAUGCAGACGACGAACUCACUUCAUUGGUGUCUUGCACCGGAUUCUCAGUUCUUUUAUGCUUUGGGAAGUAAAACAGCAGCUGGCAGUUUAAGAGGAUGUAAGUGACAAGACAUUCCAUAUAUGGCGAAACUGCUGCUUUUCAACAUUUACUUUUAAAAUUCACUCGUGAAUACCUAAUUUCAAAGAUCUUGUUGAACAAAUAAAUGAUACAAAUUCUGCACUCCUUUACCUAAAUUCAUUACUUCAGACUUACUGUAUGUGCCCACUAGAAGCUUGCGUUCUGCAAGUGAACGUCGCUUGAUUGUAUCAUCCCAAAGAAUCACAAAGUCACUUUUACGGACUUUUAAAUGAAAUGUUCCCUCCUGGUGGAAUUACCUGCCCAACUCAAUCUGAGCAGCUGAGUCCUAGCCAUCUUCAAGAAUCGGCUAAAAACACAUCUCUUCCUUCUUUAUUUGACCCUCUAACUAUAGCACUCACUAUUCUAAUUCUAUUCUUAAAAAAAAUCUAACUAGCUUUCAAAUUUUUUUGUAUUCUAUCUAGUUUCUUUUCAUUUAUUAUACAAUUAACAAAAGCAAAAAAAAGACCUCUAACACUAGCUUGCUCUAUUCUUUUUCUAUUCUAUCUGUUUUCUUUUUAUUUAUUAUAUUAUUUAAAAGCUAACUGAGACUUGUUAUAGCACUUAUAUAUCAUUGCUCUUUUGUUGAUUUUGAUUGCUUCCAUUGUCCUCAUUUGUAAGUCGCUUUGGAUAAAAGCGUCUGCUAAAUGACUAAAUGUUAAUAUAAAUACAAAUUCAUCUUCACAAGGGGAUUUCCACUAUCUGCAAGGCAGAUGACAUGGAACUAUACUUCAGAGGGGAAAGGGGGGUGGGGGGGUGUUGGAUUGCAGGUAGCAAAACAUGUUUCUUUUCUUUGAGCCAGAAGCCAGCCUGGGCUUGUCUGUGUGAACCCGAUCUUUCGGUACAGUACCCCCUCUCGUAUAUGCACGCAUUUGCACACACACAGUGAUUUUGUUCUGCAGUAACAACACUGAAUUACAUCAAAUUAAGUCACAUGGAUGACUCAAGACUGGGCCAGUGUCUACUCCUCCCACUCUACCAUAGUUUUCUUUAAGUGAUAAAGGAUAUUAGAAUUUAAACUUUGGUAAUCUCCAAAAGCUCAAAUAGACCCAUACAUCAUCCUUUCUUCUUAAGAAAAGAUGUAAGGUGAGCCUUGAUGGAAGAUGACAGCAAACUGCUGGUAAUCUGGGUAUCUACAGGUUAAGGCAUAUUCUAACAUCAUGAGUGACUUAACAGCAGCCUCCAGUUACUCAGAAGAGCUGUGUGUAUUAUAUGCCUGAUAUUAUGCUAAUUAUUAAAUGAGACUCAUGGGAAUCACUAUCAAUCAUCGUUACAAUUUAAAAGCUGAAAUCCAAAGGCUGUUAACCUGAAUCUGGAUAUGUUUUGUACAGUAGACAAAGACAAAAAUUCACCAUAAGAAGCUUGCAAACAUGCAAGUAAAUGACACUGAAUAACUUAAGAAUUCAAGCCAUUCAACAGGCCAGCUUCAGUCUCCAUAAUGACAAUACAGUGUGCUGUAGCUUUUGGAGGCUAUUCUACAUUUAAAUUUAAAUUCUAAUGUUAUUGUCAUGCUCAGGCAGUCCAUUAUUACUAAAAGGAAUAAUAUUAUAAAGGAAAAAAUCAUUCAAAUGAGUGUUUUCUCCACCAAAAUCUAAACUAUACAGUGUAUAGAAAUUUCUUAAUUGCUAUGAAAUGAUGGUAUACUGUAAUGAUUAUAGAUUCAGGUCACAGAUCUAUUACCUAUCAUAAUACAAAAAUAUUUUAUUUUACUUUGGUAUUAACUUUUUAAGACUUUUAAGACUUAAAUAACUUGUACUGCCAGAUGACUUUUAAUUUACUUACUGAUAAAACUGAUUUGAAACUAUAGAAACAAAGUUUCCCUUUUCUCAACCAUGUUCCUACAGACCCCCUCACAUUGCAUAUUUUGGAUGUCUCUGUUAUUUAAAGGGACAGUUCACCCAAAAAUAGAAUGCAGGCGUGAUUCUUUAGAAGACUUGGAUGGAACCGCUUGUCUUUAUGAACUUACACCCCCACCAGAUAAUGCUAGGAGAGCAACUUAAAGGUGAAGUGUGUAUUUUUGAAGCCACUGGACAAGCACACAGUGUGAAAGAAAAUUAUUAUUUACGAACAGAUUCCUAAACACUUUUUCACCAUUGGUGAGACAGAAAGGUAGUCCCACCCCAAACCCCAUGAUUGAUUGAGACAGUUGAGUAUGUCAGGCCUCUCAAACAAAUAGAGCAACGCUGAAAGUUUCACAGAGCCCUGCACAGUGUUUACACUUUUGGGGAAAUCAACCUACUAAAUGAAUAGCCUACUAUACAGUGCUUAUUCUUGUUUCUUCCUAUAACACUGGGAUAAGCAGAAGUAUUUUAAUAUCCAGAGAAUAACACACAUCACCUUUAAGUUAAAAUAAGAUUUAAGUAUCAAUAAAAUAUGCAUAAAAAAAUCUCAUUUGAUAGUAUGUUUACACUAUUUACAUGUCUGGGAGAAAUACUCCUUCAUACUGACCAAAGUUUAGGCCUUUGUUUAGCCAGAGACAGUAAAGGAGGAAGAAAAAAAUCUGCAAUGUUUAAAUGGCAAAGCUCAAUAUGGCAGCUGCAUGAAAGGAAGUCCCGCCUUCAAGUUGCCUAUCUACAAAAGCACUAGCUGAAAUUUGCAUGUGAAUAAGCUGAACCAACCUGAGAGUUUUUUUUUUUUUUUAAGUAUUUUUUUUCUUACAUUUUUUUUUUUUAGCUGAAGUAAUGUUAUGUUACUAAUGCAUAUUGAAAGUAAAAUAUUUAUG